ACUUUUCACUUCAACUGUGUCUGAUAGGAGAAUUAGCUUUUCUAAGGAGCGUCUAAAAAAGGAAGUUCCAAGAAAAUUUCUAAUGGGAGCUGCUGAAUGAGAUAUAGAAAAUACAGCUCGAGCUGCAGGCAAUGGAGAAGCAGAUCCGC